rnacentral:rRNA from 1 species
UGGGGAAUUUUGGACAAUGGGCGAAAGCCUGAUCCAGCAAUGCCGCGUGUGUGAAGAAGGCCCUUCGGGUUGUAAAGCACUUUUGUCCGGAAAGAAAUCCUUGGCUCUAAUACAGUCGGGGGAUGACGGUACCGGAAGAAUAAGCACCGGCUAACUACGUGCCAGCAGCCGCGGUAAUACGUAGGGUGCAAGCGUUAAUCGGAAUUACUGGGCGUAAAGCGUGCGCAGGCGGUUUGCUAAGACCGGUGUGAAAUCCCCGGGCUCAACCUGGGAACUGCAUUGGUGACUGGCAGGCUAGAGUAUGGCAGAGGGGGGUAGAAUUCCACGUGUAGCAGUGAAAUGCGUAGAGAUGUGGAGGAAUACCGAUGGCGAAGGCAGCCCCCUGGGCCAAUACUGACGCUCAUGCACGAAAGCGUGGGGAAAAACAGGAUUAGAUACCCUGGGUAGUCCACGCCCUAAACGAUGUCAACUAGUUGUUGGGGAUUCAUUUCCUAGUAACGUAGCUAACGCGUGAAGUUGACCGCCUGGGGAGUACGGUCGCAAGAUUAAAACUCAAUGAAUUGACGGGGUCAUAGCUGUUUCCU